rnacentral:rRNA from 1 species
GUGGGGAAUUUUGGACAAUGGGCGCAAGCCUGAUCCAGCCAUUCCGCGUGCAGGAUGAAGGCCUUCGGGUUGUAAACUGCUUUUGUACGGAACGAAAAGGUUCUCUCUAAUACAGGGGGCUGAUGACGGUACCGUAAGAAUAAGCACCGGCUAACUACGUGCCAGCAGCCGCGGUAAUACGUAGGGUGCAAGCGUUAAUCGGAAUUACUGGGCGUAAAGCGUGCGCAGGCGGUUUUGUAAGACAGGCGUGAAAUCCCCGGGCUCAACCUGGGAAUUGCGCUUGUGACUGCAAGGCUGGAGUGCGGCAGAGGGGGAUGGAAUUCCGCGUGUAGCAGUGAAAUGCGUAGAUAUGCGGAGGAACACCGAUGGCGAAGGCAAUCCCCUGGGCCAGCACUGACGCUCAUGCACGAAAGCGUGGGGAGCAAACAGGAUUAGAAACCCUAGUAGUCC